AAAAAAGAAGAGAAGAUUCAUCUGGAAAGAGCGCAUGCGUAGUGAACACUAAACAACAAAGCCUGAUUGGACCGGCUCAUGGACCAUGUCUGAUUUUACUGGUUUAUAAUGGGUCGUGUCUGAUUGAUAGUGUCUGAUUUUACUGGUUUAUAAUGGGUCGUGUCUGAUUGGUCAUGUCUGAUUGGACAGGUUUAUAAUGGGUCAUGUCUGAUUGGACGAGCGUGUGACGGGUCAUGUCUGAUUGGAGAGGCUUUUGAUGAGCCACACAUGAUUGGACUUGUGAUGGGCCUUGUCAACUUUGACAAGUUUAUUACUGAUUGUACCAGACUGGACAGAAUUUUGUCUGAUUCCUGUCAUAUCUGUCAAAUAUCUGACUUCAUGAGCCGAUCACGGUUUGUAUUUAUUUUUAUUUAUUUUAUUUUUUUACCGGUUGGGCCUUUUAAUAGACGAGACAUGAUUGGACCGACUUGUGACCGGUAAUAUCUAAUUCGUACAUGCUGUGUUUGAUUGGAUAGAUUGGAUGUCUGAUUGGACCGGCUUGUAACUGAUUGUGUCUGAUUGGACUGGCUUCUAACAGGUCAGAUCUGAUUGUAAAAGCUUGUGACAAAUCAUGUCCGAAUGGACCGGCUUGUAACAGGUCAAGUUUGAUAGAAUGGGUUUGUAAAAGGGCGUGUCUGAUUGUAACAGCUGAAAUAUGAUUGGACCGGCUUGUAGCUGGUCGUGUCUGAUUGGACAAAACCAGUGACACAUCACUAUGGAUGAAUAUUUCUAGAAAUAUCAAACGAGAUACUUCACACAAAAAGACAGACUUUUAUUUCAAGUGUAUUUUUUUUUUUACCCCAUAAUCUUUGAAUUGUUUUAUCAUUUUAAUACCAUGUAUACACGGAGACUAGUGACUGAUGUUUAAAAGAUGUAUAAGUUAAUGAUGUAUAGGUUUUUCUACACACGAUAUGGUGAAAAUACUUCUGUAAAA
ensembl:lncRNA